rnacentral:misc_RNA from 1 species
CCAAGGCUUUUUUUUUUUGCUGCUUCGCUGCCUAACUGUCCGCCUCUCCUGCCGCUGCCGACGGAGGCUUCUCCAUGCUACGCAGCGAGCCAAUCACAGCCCUACGCUAGAAAACAAAGCCGCAUCAUCACCGCCGCGCGCUCUGCCCACUCUGUAGACCACAUCCAGGUCGCUGUGUGCCGUCCCCGCGACUCACUUCUUGUUUCCCCUUCAAGCCACGCUCGUUCAGUACCGCUGUCAUGGCGACGGAGGACGAGUUGCGGGAGCUUCUCCCGAAGAUGCGCUUCAACAAGGAGUUCAAGAAGAAGCAGAAGUACAAGUACAAGAAGCGCGUCGAGGCGCGCGAGAAGGAGCGCGAGAUGAUCACCGGCAAGAGUCGCCCAGCGAGCAAACAGAUUCAGUCUGCAAGUGAUGGCGCGAAGGCAAAGACCACAGCAACGAAGAAGUCUGGUGGUGCAGGAACGGCGGGAGCGAAAGGGAAGCCGAAAACGCGCGUGCCGAAGCUGAAGGUUGCCAAUGUGGAGACCGGCAAGGAGACGCUGACAAAGAAGAAGGCGCGGGAGCUGGUGCAGGAAAACCGGAAGAAGAAGAUUUCCGCCAAGAAGGAGCCGAAGCUGGCCGCCAAGUCAACCCGUGCAGGUGCGGUCACCGCUGCAGUUGUCUCCACCGAGACCUUAGAAGCAAAGCAAAGCAGGGCACGGGUGACAAAGGACGAGCUGCCUGCGACUGCCGCACAGGCAGCGUCGUUGGUGGAGCCGAAGCAGACGCUGACGCAGGCGGAGCGUGACCGUGAGCUGCUUGCUCGGGCGAUCCGCGGAGACGAUCUGCUCGGCAGCGACGCAGCCACGGGCGUCGCCGAUGGCGUAGCGUUCAUCCGCCAAGACCCGUCGCUCUACCCUGAUCACGCCUUCCUGGACGAUUACGCGGAGAAGAAGCACGCCGAAGCCGUCUCUGCCGACGAGUUGCUCAAGAACGCGCACCACUUUUUCAAGAAGCUCAGCAAGCGAGAGCGGGCCCUCAACAAGGUUGCGAAGGAGCACAUUAACCAUCUUCGGGCGGUGAACCGCCGCGGUGGGGACAAGCAAGGGUUCCGUUAUGUGGUACCCAAGAACGUAAAGCAGGUGGUGCGAGAGCUAAUCUCGGCGCAGAAGGCGCGUGACGGCGAAGAGGAUCCGGAGUCUCUCAUCGACACCGAGCAGCUGGUGUCGACGUUCGGCGGCGACGGGGUGGCGGAGACCUCUGAAAAGCCUGUGCGCCGCAGCCGUCGUCGACGCUCGCGGACGUACUCGGACUUCUACCAGUUUCAGGUGAGUAGGCGGUGGACUCGCAACGCGGAGAACUUCCUUAAGCGUAGUCGACCAAACAAGCUGCUUUUCGAGGCGAAAAAGCACCAGCGCACUAUCAAACAUUUUUGAGACUGAUGCGGCUCUCUCGAUGGCGGGGGCCUCGGCACAGGGUGCCUUCUCCUGCCUCCGCGCGCCCAAUAUCGCUCGCGUUUGCUCGCUGCUCGGCUUUCUGUUGGUGUGCAUUCUUUUUUUUUUUUCGCUGUGCCACUGUUGUUAUUGCUGCUUUCCUGCUUGUGCUACUGUGUGUGUGCGUCGUGCGCCAGUCACUCGGUGGUGGUCGACGCUGUGGGAGUAGAAGCAGCGCGCGUGGGCACGGCGUUGAAGGUGGUGGUGAGGGAAGAGGGCUUCAGGGUUUUUGCUCUGGGUGAACGAUACGAUGAUGCUUCCGCGUUUCGUUUGUCUGCUCGGGACAGAGGCGAUUCUCCCCAUUCGCUACGCUAGCCCUGACACAUUGAGUUUUCCGUUUCUCCGAAGUGCCCUCUUUCCCACUCCUCUUCGCUCCUUGCGCGUUUUGUUUGCCGGCUGCGAUGCUGCUUCCAG